rnacentral:rRNA from 1 species
UACGUAGGUGGCAAGCGUUAUCCGGAAUUAUUGGGCGUAAAGCGCGCGUAGGCGUUUUUAAGUUCUGAUGUGAAAGCCCACGGCUCAACCGUGGAGGGUCAUUGGAAACUGGAAAACUUGAGUGCAGAAGAGGAAAGUGGAAUUCCAUGUGUAGCGGUGAAAUGCGCAGAGAUAUGGAGGAACACCAGUGGCGAAGGCGACUUUCUGGUCUGUAACUGACGCUGAUGUGCGAAAGCGUGGGGAUCAAACAGG